GGUCAAGCUACAAAGGGCGCAUGGUGAAUGCCUUGGCAUCAGGAGCCGAUGAAGGACGUGAUAAGCUGCGAUAAGCUUCGGGUAGGCGCACAUAGCCAGAGAUCCGAAGAUUUCCGAAUGAGGAAACUCGCAUGGGAAACCCCAUGCAUCAUAUAGUGAAUACAUAGCUAUAUGAAGGUAACCUAGGGAACUGAAACAUCUAAGUACCUAGAGGAAGAGAAAGAAAAAUCGAUUUUCUUAGUAGCGGCGAGCGAAAAGGAAAGAGCCCAAACCAAAGAUUUAUCUUUGGGGUUGCGGACAGAACAUUAACUUAGGAGGCUAUCGUAACAGAACACAACUGGAAAGUUGGACCGUAGAAGGUAAUAGUCCUGUAUGUGAAACGAGAAGACCUAAAGUUCUGAUCCAGAGUACCACGAGACACGAGAAACCUUGUGGGAAGCAGGGAGGACCACCUCCCAAGGCUAAAUACUACCUGAUGACCGAUAGUGAAGCAGUACCGUGAGGGAAAGGUGAAAAGAACCCCGGGAGGGGAGUGAAAUAGAACCUGAAACCGUGUGCCUACAACCGAUCAAAGCCCCAUAUGAGGGUGAUGAUGUGCUUUUUGUAGAACGAGCCAACGAGUUACGGUAUGUAGCAAGGUUAAGUACUUAAGGUACGGAGCCGAAGGGAAACCAAGUCUUAAUAGGGCGACUAGUUGCAUGCUGUAGACCCGAAACCGGGUGACCUAUCCAUGGCCAGGUUGAAACGAGGGUAAAACCUCGCGGAGGACCGAACCACGUUGCUGUUGAAAAAGCAUGGGAUGAGCUGUGGAUAGCGGAGAAAUUCCAAUCGAACUCGGAGAUAGCUGGUUCUCCUCGAAAUAGCUUUAGGGCUAGCGUCGAAUGAUAUGAGUAGUGGAGGUAGAGCACUGAAUGGGCUAGGGGGCAUAGCGCUUACUGAACCUUAUCAAACUCCGAAUGCCACAUACUUUUAAUUCGGCAGUCAGACUACGAAUGAUAAGAUCCGUGGUCAAAAGGGAAACAGCCCAGAUCGUCAGCUAAGGUCCCAAAGUGUAAGUUAAGUGGGAAAGGAUGUGGGAUUUCUAAGACAACUAGGAUGUUGGCUUAGAAGCAGCCACUCAUUGAAAGAGUGCGUAAUAGCUCACUAGUCGAGAGAUCCUGCGCCGAAAAUGUAACGGGGCUAAACUUACCACCGAAGCUACGGGUUCACAC
rnacentral:rRNA from 1 species